rnacentral:rRNA from 1 species
GAUGAACGCUAGCUACAGGCUUAACACAUGCAAGUCGAGGGGUAACAAGAGGAAAGCUUGCUUUUCUUGUUGACGACCGGCGCACGGGUGAGUAACGCGUAUCCAACCUGCCUAUAACUAGGGAAUAACCUUGCGAAAGUAAGACUAAUACCCUAUGAUUUCCUUUGAUGACAUCAGAUUAGGAAUAAAGAUUUAUCGGUUAUAGAUGGGGAUGCGUCUGAUUAGCUUGUUGGCGGGGUAACGGCCCACCAAGGCAACGAUCAGUAGGGGUUCUGAGAGGAAGGUCCCCCACAUUGGAACUGAGACACGGUCCAAACUCCUACGGGAGGCAGCAGUGAGGAAUAUUGGUCAAUGGGCGGAAGCCUGAACCAGCCAAGUAGCGUGCAGGAUGACGGCCCUAUGGGUUGUAAACUGCUUUUAUACAGGAAUAAAGUUAGCCACGUGUGGUUAUUUGUAGGUACUGUAUGAAUAAGGACCGGCUAAUUCCGUGCCAGCAGCCGCGGUAA